rnacentral:rRNA from 1 species
GACGAACGCUGGCGGCGUGCUUAACACAUGCAAGUCGAACGGAAAGGCCCUGCUUUUGUUGGUUGCUCGAGUGGCGAACGGGUGAGUAACACGUGAGUAACCUGCCCUUGACUUUGGGAUAACUUCAGGAAACUGGGGCUAAUACCGGAUAGGAGCUCCUGCUGCAUGGUGGGGGUUGGAAAGUUUCGGCGGUUGGGGAUGGACUCGCGGCUUAUCAGCUUGUUGGUGGGGUAGUGGCUUACCAAGGCUUUGACGGGUAGCCGGCCUGAGAGGGGGACCGGCGACAUUGGGACUAAGAUACGGCCCAGACUCCUACGGGAGGCAGUAGUGGGGAAUAUUGCACAAUGGGCGGAAGCCUGAGGCAGCAACGCCGCGUGCGGGAUGACGGGCUUCGAGUUGUAAACCGAUUUCGCCGGUGACGAAGCGUGAGUGACGGUAAUGGGUAAAGAAGCACCGGCUAACUACGUG